AGAGGGGGCCAGCGUUAUUCGGAAUUAUUGGGCGUAAAGGGCGCGUAGGCGGCCAUGCGUGUCUUUCGUGAAAUCCCUCGGCUUAACUGAGGACGUGCGGAAGAAACUGCAAGGCUUGAGUCCGGGAGAGGGGGGUGGAAUUCCCAGUGUAGCGGUGAAAUGCGUAGAUAUUGGGAGGAACACCGGUGGCGAAGGCGGCCCCCUGGACCGGUACUGACGCUGAGGCGCGGAAGCGUGGGUAGCAAACGGGAUUAGAUACCCCGGUAGUCCACGCCGUAAACGAUGGGCACUUGGUGUCGCGGGUAUCGACCCCUGCGGUGCCGAAGCUAACGCAUUAAGUGCCCCGCCUGGGGAGUACKGUCGCARGGCUG
rnacentral:rRNA from 1 species